UAUUGGACAAUGGGCGAAAGCCUGAUCCAGCAAUGCCGCGUGAGUGAUGAAGGCCCUAGGGUUGUAAAGCUCUUUUACCCGGGAAGAUAAUGACUGUACCGGGAGAAUAAGCCCCGGCUAACUCCGUGCCAGCAGCCGCGGUAAUACGGAGGGGGCUAGCGUUGUUCGGAAUUACUGGGCGUAAAGCGCACGUAGGCGGCUUUGUAAGUCAGAGGUGAAAGCCUGGAGCUCAACUCCAGGACUGCCUUUGAGACUGCAUCGCUUAAUCCAGGAGAGGUCAGUGGAGUUCCGAGUGAGAGGUAAAUUCGAGUUUCGAAGACACCAGUGGCGAGGCGGCUGCUGGCUGGUUAGCGUGUGUGAGAGAGA
rnacentral:rRNA from 1 species